UACAUUAUCGCGAGGCCCUGUUCGACAUGAAGAAAUGGAGGUUAGAGAGCUGCCCAGGUCCCCCAGGUGGUCCAGUUGAAAGGACCAGGCUGAUCUGAUUGCUGAGCACCCGAGUUCUGGACAGGUACAGAUCGGUGUUCACCAAGGGUCUUCCCAGUGCAUGCCCGGCCGGGGCCCCACUAUGGCAACGCAGAAGCCGACCUUGGCCAAGCUCUGGAAGAGGCAGCCCUCCCACAGAACCUUCGGAACACACACAGCAGGCAUGGUGUGUCGCCAUUGGUCCUGUAGGGCAGAGAGAGGAAAAGUCGACCUUCAGGUCCUGGAAGCCCUGGUGGGACCCAGUGGCCAGCCUUGGGAGAGCACUCAGGCUGCACCGCCCCCCAGGCUUGCUCCGAUGCGCAUACAAAACUCAUGUUUUGACUCCUCUGGUGACGCAGUAGAUAAGAAUCCACCUGCCAAUGCAGGGAACAGAGGUUCGAACCUUUGU